AAAAAAAAAAGAAAGGAAAAAAAAACACUCCGCACUUCUUAAGAGAGAAGAGAGAGGAAGUCAGGGGACACACAGGCUGAGUGGCCGUGUGGUAGUUCUCCUGUCUGUGUAUAAAUAUUUACAUGUUCUGUGUGGUCUGAAUGCAGAAGCUCAAAAAGCUUGCAAAAAAGAAAAAAGAAAAUGUUUCUUUGUUGAGCCGUGUCUUGAAGGCAAAAGAGAAAAUGCUCUACUAGUCUUUCCUUCAUUGUUCUUAGUUGAGCUCUGUGCGUGAAUGCUUAAUUUCUUUUGUUUAUGACGGUUUUACUUAACUUUAAAGACAUAUUUGCACAAAACCUUUGUUUAAGAUCUGCAAUAUUAUAUAUAUAAAUAUAUAUAUAAAAUAAGAGAACUCUGUAUGUGGGAGAGCAGGAGUAUUUUUGUAUUAGAAGAGGCCUAUUCAAAAAAAAAAAAGUUGUUUUCUGAACUAGAAGAGAAAAAAAAUGGCAAUUUUUUGAGUGCCAACUCCGAAAGUGUGUAUUACCUUGUAAAGAAAAAAAAAACCUACAAAGCAGGGGUUUAGAGCUAUUUAUAUAAAUGCUGCGAUUUUGCACUAUUUUUUAAUAUAAUAUAUCAGUGCUUGUUUGAUGGAAACUUCUAGAGAGUGUGUUGAGACUUGGAGAAAUGUUGAGUUUAAGUCUGAACAGAGCAGCAGGGGUGUGUCCCUCCACCCCCUGGGUCUCAGAGGGCCCCCACUGUGCAGGAAAGCCAGGCUCCCCCAGGGCCACACAGCAUGCCGCCUGCAAGCCAAUGGAUGCUUCUGUCCAGACAGGCUGUGAACAGUUACACAUUCCCUGCCGAAGGGGACCCGUGAUGUGUCGUCCCUCUGGGUUACAGCUGAGUCAGGACCGUCUCCCCCGCACCGCCCCCCAACAGAGGCAUCCAAUUCCAGAUGCCUUUCCCAAUAUGAAAAUAAACUGUUACCGAAGGAAUCUUAGUUUUUUUUUUUUUCUUCCUCUUUAAAACACAAAAACUAUGAAGGUUCAGUGUUUGGGGGCAAGGUGCAUCCCCAAAGCCAAAGCAGUCCCCGAAUUUGGUGCCAGGUGGAUACAGCAGCUGGCUUCAUGCAGAAGCGGGUUAGACUCCAGUGUCCCAAGGCUGGGAUCUACGCAGUUCCACCCUGGCAUGUAGGAACGGCCCAGGGUGAUGGCUGCUUGACCUCUGACCAUGUGUUUCCCUCAAUAUUGAUUUUCACUUCAAGAAGCCAAUUAAGAGUCAGCCCAAGAUUGAAAGGGACAAGCCCAAGUGUUCCCCCAGGAAGCCCAAAGGGGUUAGGAAAGACUGCCAGCACCAGCGGCCCGUCCCUCCAUCCCUCCGCCUCCAGCGUAACUUUCCUUCUCCUCCUGGACUCUCCCCUCCGACCCGGAAAGAGUUGUAUUAGAUGUGGUCAUCUGAUCAUCAUUAUCACACGUUAGCGGGACUGGGGUCUCAUUUCCCAGCAUGUAAUUAGUAUGUAGGAUGCUGGGACCCCUAGAGGGCUUGCUGUUGUGUCUUCUGUGAAUACAAGAGAAAGCGGGGUGAGUGUGUAGUGAGAUCUCUUAGGGUUCAGCAGCAGCAGAGGUAUCAGGAGCAGAGGUGAGUCUGCUGGAAUCCCUGGAGUGACCCCGCCACCCCUCCCCAUCCACAGGGCGGUCCUAUUUCCUGCCGAAAACGUUAUCAUGUAAAUGAGAGACGGUAACCUGGACACAGCACCUUUUUAUUACUUGAAAACCUUUUGGAGGUCAGGCCACCAUGCCUGCUUAUACACAUACAGUUUUUAAAAUAUAGGUUACCCUGCUACCCUGCUGGAUCCUGAGCCUGGAGGCCUGCAGAUCCAUCCGGGCAGAACAUUCCCAGGAGACCUACUUCUCCAGGAGUGGUUGACCUGACCUCUCAAAGAGGAUUCUUGAAAAUAUCACGAUGUCACUGAGAUGUCCCGUGUUUCCCUGUGCGAAUAAUAUCCGAUGCCUUACCGAGGAAGAGCUCUCCCUCCGGGCUCAGGGUGGGGACACUCCCUACAGUGUCUCACUCUUGGGGCCAGUCCAUCAAGGGCUACUGCUGAAGUUCAACUGUGCACACCCCUCCCCUUCCCUUCCCUUCCCUCAGCAUGCAUGUACCCUGCUUGCAGAGGCCCCCAGCUGUCCCUGCAGCCUCAUGGAAUACUGCAUGUGGCUCCCAUUCCUCUAGACAAGGAAACCUUAUUUGUGUCUGCGGCUUCAGCUGAAAGCCAAGCCAAAUGAACGUGCCCACUGUCCUCUGGGGCCAAAAUGGCUGUCCUUGCUUUGUUGGAUGGGUUGUUGCAGGGGCUUGCUGGGCUCAUUUGACUUAAGGGCACACCUACUCCUUUGGGUAACAACCCUGGACUAGAAACUGGGGUCCCUUGGAUGUGGGUUGUAGGAGCUUGAAGGAAAGGACUUGUCAAAGGCAGGGUGUCCUGAGUGUCAGGCUGUCAGUCCCUGCAGGCUGCUGGUAGUGGGACCCUGAGCUCUGGCCAAACUCUACAUGCUGGGUCCACACUAUCUCUUCCCAUGGCAAAUUAAGCAGAUCCUGGGAAGUGGCUGGUUGGAAAGGAACCGACCUGGUAGGUUGGGGGGGGGGGCAGAGAUGGGGAGUCUAUUGCUCCUUUCGGUUCUGAGAAAGGGAGAGUUCUUGACUCCCUCUGCCCACAUUACCAUCUCCACUGCUUGCUCCAGAGAGGUCACAGCCCCUGCAGAGCUCCAGGCUGUGUAAAGGCAGGAAGGCUCUGCCGAGCUCCAGGCUGUGAGCCAGCUUUGUAAAGCUGGGAUCUGCAUGACUUUGCCUACUGCGCGAAAGAAGUCUGUUGUUUUAGCAAAAAGUUAAAAUGUGACCCUGUACCCUACGUGUAACAGGAAUCAGGGUCAGGCAGACUCCAGACCCUCUCUGUUCAACCGCUCUCUGUUCUUGGUCACUGUUGUGACCCGCGUGGCCAAGUUCCAUGUCCCUCAACUUCCAGAACCACAGAAUAUUGUAAUGAUGCGAGAUGUGUUCUCAUCUGUGCUCUGGACUUGAGAGCCCGAAAUGCCACACCUCCUUUGUCAUCUGUCACCCCUCCCUCAGCACCCUGUCCGGCUGCACUGCUGCUCGGCUUUGGGGUGCCCUUCUUUGCAGCUGUCCCCCCACCUUCUGUUCCUGGUCAGCACUUGGGAUUUCUCCGUGCCUGGAGCACCCGACUGUGGGAGACUGUACCCAGGCCUGAAGAAGCUGUUCUCUGUGUAUCUAUACUCUUUGGUGCCAAUGUUGGCGUUCUGAAAAGCCGCAAUACACAAUAAAUUUUACAGUUCUUUGG
rnacentral:lncRNA from 1 species